rnacentral:rRNA from 1 species
UACGUAGGGUGCAGGCGUUAAUCGGAAUUACUGGGCGUAAAGCGUGCGCAGGCGGCCUCUUAAGUCAGAUGUGGAAUCCCCGGGCUUAACCUGGGAACUGCGUUUGAAACUGGGAGGCUAGAGUGUGGAAGAGGGGGGUGGAAUUCCAGGUGUAGCAGUGAAAUGCGUAGAGAUCUGGAGGAACACCGAUGGCGAAGGCAGCCCCCUGGGCUGACACUGACGCUCAUGCACGAAAGCGUGGGGAGCAAACAGG